ACAGUCACACGUAGUUUGAUCCUGGCUCAGAGCGAACGCUAGCGGCGGGCUUAACACAUGCAAGUCGAGCGGAGAGCUUCGGCUCUCAGCGGCGAACGGGUGAGUAACACGUAGGUCACGUACCCUUUGAUGGGGAAUAACCUAGGGAAACCUGGGCUAAUACCGCAUAUGUCCUUCGGGAUGAAAGCCUUCGGGCGUCAGAGGAUCGGCCUGCGGCCCAUUAUUUAAUCCUAGUUGGUAGGGUAAUGGCCUACCAAGGGUACGAUGGGUAGCUGGUCUGAGAGGAUGAUCAGCCACACUGGAACUGAGACACGGUUCAGACUCCUACGGGAGGCAGCAGUGGGGAAUAUUGGACAAUGGGCGAAAGCCUGAUCCAGCCACGCCGCGUGGGUGAUGAAGGCCUUCGGGUUGUAAAGCCCUGUCGGGAGGGACGAAUCAAUGACGGUACCUCCCAAGAAAGCACCGGCUAACUCCGUG
rnacentral:rRNA from 1 species